GACAACCAGUGCAAAUGCCAGAAUAAUUUCAGCCCUAUUUCAGAAACUCAAUGCAGACCAGAUAAUUAUUUCUACUCUUGUGAUCAAGUAUUAGAUUGCGGCGAUCCUUGGCAUUAUACUUGCAAUGCUGAUAAAAAAUGUUGUUGCAAAAACAAUAAUGUUUCAAUAAAUAGAUCAACGUGUUCACCAGGUUUGAAAGGUUAUUGCUGGAAUGACAGUCAAUGCACUACUCAUAAUUCUUCCUGCGUUGAUUUUCACUGUAAAUGUAAUGAUAAAUUUGUUGGUGUUUCUAAAAAUUUAUGUUUACCAGAGUCUAAUUCAAAACGAUUCAUUUUUUAAAAAAGAUGAAGAAUAAUCACGAUUUAAACUGAAUAUAC